UCCGGAGUCCUAGCGGUCGUGAAA
rnacentral:siRNA from 1 species